rnacentral:misc_RNA from 1 species
GUGUGUGUGUGUAUGUGUGUGUGUGUGUGUGUGUGUGUGCCCAGGACAGCGUGCUUGAACCUCAAUUGGAUAAAUUGGAUAUAAGCACAAAAAUCAGUUAAUGACAAGAUCGCUUAGUAAAACGGGGUCGUGGUCGCAAAGUAUAUACAUUUAACGUUUUUAAGCAGCUCAAAAGUGACGAAGUCUAGGUGCCGCGAAACUGCAGGUAGUGUAUUUAAUAAUGUAUGGUACGGGUUUUAUCGGUUUGUAACAAGUUUUAAUGAUCUCAACUAGUCUCACAUUCGUCGGCCUUCCGUCUGUUUUAGCGCCAGGAACGGUUAAUCUCCUAUCAGACGAGUUGGCGGGUUCUUGUACUUUUAAACACGAUAACUGGUGACGCAUGAAAACACACUACGUGUGGAAUCGCUUCAACACCCCCUCGUCCUUCACACGUGGUUGGGUAACAUUACUUGUUAAGCGGUACUAAACGUAAGCGAUCAGUGCAAGCAGACGACAGUUACGGUAUUCGUAAACUCAUGCAGUACACUGCAUAUUGGAUAUUACCUGGACAGAUAUUAUCAAAAUGCAAAUAUUUAAUGGGUGUGUUAUCACAACAGAUGUUACGAUGCACUUACGGCUAAAGAUACAGACAGUACCAGGCAGUCCAAUUGUUUUUAGAAAAACGUUACCUCAUUGCAAGAUGCUUCCGACCACCAGUUACAUAUUAAAGACAGUUUUCUUGUUUGGAAUACCAGUAUCUGUAUAAACAAG